rnacentral:misc_RNA from 1 species
UGUCUGUCGAUGGCACCCUCAGCCACGAUGAUGAUGUUCAGCCUUGAGCCACCCAAACGGGUCUCCGUGAGCCUUCGGCACAAGUGGUCCUCCCAGCCAUCCUCAGGGGGGGACUCGGGGAUGAAGACCCAGUCAGCACCGCAGGCCAGGGAGGUGAUGAGAGCCAGGUAGCCGCAGUGACGACCCAUCACUUCCAGCACAAACGUCCUCUGG